GAUGAACGCUGGCGGCGUGCCUAAUACAUGCAAGUCGAGCGAACAGACGAGGAGCUUGCUCCUCUGAUGUUAGCGGCGGACGGGUGAGUAACACGUGGAUAACCUACCUAUAAGACUGGGAUAACUUCGGGAAACCGGAGCUAAUACCGGAUAACAUGUUGAACCGCAUGGUUCAACAGUGAAAGACGGUCUUGCUGUCACUUAUAGAUGGAUCCGCGCCGCGUUAGCUAGUUGGUAAGGUAACGGCUUACCAAGGCAACGAUGCGUAGCCGACCUGAGAGGGUGGUAAGCCACACUGGAACUGAGACACGGUCCAGACUACUACGGGAGGCAGCAGUAGGGAAUCUUCCGCAAUGGGCGAAAGCCUGACGGAGCAACGCCGCGUGAGUGAAGAAGGUCUUCGGAUCGUAAAACUCUGUUAUUAGGGAAGAACAAAUGUGUAAGUAACUAUGCACGUCUUGACGGUACCUAAUCAGAAAGCCACGGCUAACUACGUG
rnacentral:rRNA from 1 species